AGCAGCCGCGGUAAUUCCAGCUCCAAUAGCGUAUAUUAAAGUUGUUGCAGUUAAAAAGCUCGUAGUUGAAUUUCGGGACCAAGUCGUCGGUCGUGCUUAGGUACGUACUGGCGUCAUUGAUUUCUCCCUUCUGACGAACCAUGAUGUCAUUAAUUUGGUGUUAUGGGAAAUCAGGACUGUUACUUUGAAAAAAUUAGAGUGUUUAAAGCAGGCUCACGCUUGAAUACAUUAGCAUGGAAUAAUGAAAUAGGACGUUUGAUUCUAUUUUGUUGGUUUCUAGGAUCGACGUAAUGAUUAAUAGGGAUAGUUGGGGGCAUUAGUAUUCAAUUGUCAGAGGUGAAAUUCUUGGAUUUAUUGAAGACUAACUACUGCGAAAGCAUUUGUCAAGGAUGUUUUCAUUAAUCAAGAACGAAAGUUAGGGGAUCGAAGACGAUCAGAUACCGUCGUAGUCUUAACCAUAAACUAUGCCGACUAGGGAUCGGAUGAUGUUAAUUUUUAAUGUACUCAUUCGGCGCCUUAA
rnacentral:rRNA from 1 species